UACGGGGGGGGCAAGCGUUGUUCGGAAUUACUGGGCGUAAAGGGCUCGUAGGCGGCGCGGUAAGUCGGGUGUGAAAUCUCGGAGCUUAACUCCGAAACUGCAUUCGAUACUGCCGUGCUUGAGGACUGGAGAGGAGACUGGAAUUUACGGUGUAGCGGUGAAAUGCGUAGAUAUCGUAAGGAAGACCAGUGGCGAAGGCGGGUCUCUGGACAGUUCCUGACGCUGAGGAGCGAAAGCGUGGGGAGCGAACAGG
rnacentral:rRNA from 1 species